UUUUUUUUGGGUUUGUUUAUAGAAGAAAUUAAAUGGUGUAGGGUUUAGUAAAAAUCAUACACAUAGAAAAGGGAAGGCGGAGCGUGUCCAUCAUGGCAGUGUCAUGCAUAUGAUAUGAGGGCCAAGCGAUGCUUCGACAACCUCUGGAAGUACAGUAUAAUUUCCAGCAAUGUAAUCGAUGCGAAAGCAUGUUUACGGUCAUUCUAAUCGUACGGCUUUACAAUUGCUCCUCCUCAAUACAAUCGAACCAUCAAUACUUGGAUAACCCUUUAGGGGAAGGGACAGAUCACUGAAGCUAGCCAUCACAGGCCAAAGGGAAGGUAAACAGCACCCAUCAUCGAACUUGAAUUUGCUGCUUGCCUUUCGGAUCUGCUUGACGUGAUUGAAACCCAUUGAUGAGACAGGCCAUGGCCUCUGCAUAACGUAUUGAUAAAUAUUCCCCAUGAAAGACGGGAAGUAGAACCGGUCAAAACUAGCCAAUGAUUAGUCCAGAUUCACAAAAUCUGCACCGAGUCCAGAACAGGACGAUCA
rnacentral:lncRNA from 1 species